AGCUGUUUGAAAUUCUCACUCAAUUACCUCUUCAUUCCCUUUAUAUCUUACAAGUAGCUGCUUCUCUCUGUUAACUCUUAACCAUCACCUCCAAAUUCCCCCUGCUACCUUUUGUCUCAAUUCCCAACGGUAUCCUUUAGAUUGUAAGCUCACAGGCUAUCUAGCUAAGCACUCUGUAUAAAAGCUUCAAUGGCUAGAUAUCAGCUUACGGACAGGGCUCUCUCUACCUCUUGUAUUUGUCUCGUAUAUUGUAAGCUCAGAAUACCCAGCCAGUGCAGGGGGCAUGGCUAUGCAUUCUAUACCUGCUGAUUAAAGUGCCCCUUGUGUAAACAGAGGGCGAGGAUUGAAAGACACUUUGUGUGUAAUUACAGCUCGAACAUUACACAUUGUAUUCCUAUUGCUACA